UACAGAGGGUGCAAGCGUUGUUCGGAAUUACUGGGCGUAAAGCGCGUGUAGGCUGCGACGUAAGUCAGGUGUGAAAGCCCUCAGCUUAACUGAGGAAGUGCACUUGAUACUGCGUCGCUUGAGUGUCGGAGGGGGUGGCGGAAUUCCCGGUGUAGAGGUGAAAUUCGUAGAUAUCGGGAGGAACACCAGUGGCGAAGGCGGCGAUCUGGGAAGAUACUGACGCUGAGGUGCGAAAGCGUGGGGAGCAAACAGG
rnacentral:rRNA from 1 species